UACAGAGGGUGCAAGCGUUAAUCGGAGUUACUGGGCGUAAAGGGCGCGUAGGCGGUAUGAUAAGUAAGAUUUGAAAUCCCCGGGCUUAACCUGGGAACCGGAUCUUAGACUAUUGUACUGGAGUGCAGUAGAGGGUGGUGGAAUUUCCGGUGUAGCGGUGAAAUGCGUAGAGAUCGGAAGGAACAUCAGUGGCGAAGGCGACCACCUGGACUGAAACUGACGCUGAGGCGCGAGAGCGUGGGGAGCAAACAGG
rnacentral:rRNA from 1 species